rnacentral:lncRNA from 1 species
CGGAGGGAUUGUGGCUUUCGUGCUUGCUACAGCAGGAAAGCGGUGCCUGAGGAAAACGCUGUAUGAGAGGUGCUCAGAACACACCAGUCGUGCCAGCAGCAACGAGGCCUCCCGCAGAAAGACGAGGACUUCCUAAGCGUUUACAUCGCUGACGCUGUCGGGGAAGGAACCACGGCGCAUCGCCAUCUUUGGGAAAUGCCGCUGAGGUCAACUCACGAAGAGCCCUCGCUUUGAAACACGAUCGGAUUGUUGAACAGACGUGACGCGGAACGUCAGCGCUCAAUGCAACUGGAGUCAAUAAGCAAGUGCGUUUCUAAGUGACUUCGUGCCCAUGGGCGGGGGCGCCUAGAGUAAUGAACACCGUGUCAUGUUCAGUCCCGCUCGUAUCACGAGCGGGCGUGCGUCGCGGCAGCCUGUGCACCGUUAUCGAGAUGACGUCGGGUACCGCUGCUGGAAACGUGCUGGCUGGGCUAGCAGCGGCUGCCGUCGUUGUAACGCUCUACAUGCUUACAGUAAGCGUCAGCUGUGGAAAUACGCAUCUGGUUUCACGUCUCUGGCCACGAAGCAUCUGACUAAGGCAAGCCCUCUGAUCAAGAGCCCCGUCCACCCGCAAGGCCAGCUGCGGGCCGACGCCACAGUGGUCGCGUGCCUUUUAUGCUAUGGGGAUUUUAAAAAGUAGUAAUAAAAGUAUAUUACGGAUUUUUAGUUCUAUUAUUAAAUUAUUUAGAAAGCAUCCUCACUAGCCAAGGAGGUUCCAAAGUGAGAGCACUGCGUCCAGAAGAAGCUUCACUGAGAGGGUUUCGCGGCCAUCAUGCCCUGGCAGCUGUGUUUUCGAGAAUCCUGUAUCAAACGUUGGGAAUGCACGGACGUUUGUUCUGUGUUUGGAUAUACACUGACAGAACCGUUGUGUUCUGCCGGCGGUCCCUCGAACUGAGUGAUGGAUCUCACGGCCGCAGCACAACUCGGUUCUCUCUCGAUCGGUUUCAGAUGCUGGUUCAAGGGUGUCGCAGCCCGCGACAAAUUACUGGUGAUGAUCCUCCGCCAGUCGACCAUUCUUGUAUCACACCCGGAGCGAUUACGUGUGCGGACCGGAUAUGUGCUGUACGCGCGUGCUGAGAAUGGGGAUGACGACGUUGCUAUUGGAGUGCAGCUCUGUCGCAUCGGUGGAGCCACCUGGCGUUGCCGAAGAAAUACUUCGGCUUCCAAAGAUACAAUAGGAUGGUUUGAUGAGAAUCCCAGUUUAGUUUCGUUGGAGUGUUGUGCGGUGCUCUGCUGCCUGCGACGUCUGAGUAGAGCCAUCCACCGACUAGGAAGGCGUUGUGCACACAGCUGGAACGCGCGCAAGAGCAGGCACACACUAUGUAUAUGGCUGACGAUUGCGGAUUAAACAAGAUGAUGCCUACUACUGGUAACGGCUGGCGCUAACAGAGGAGGAUUCAGAUAACACUGUGCGUGACAUGUAGUAUUCAAGAGGGGGGGAGGCUGUGUCUUCAUGUGAACGGCUGUGGCGACGAGUGUACCAAUUUUGCGGGAUAUUGUGUGCAUUUCCGUACCCGUGCAUAAGGGCGGAGUUGGUCACAUGGGCCGCAGAAGGAUCGCCGAAGAGCGCUGGGCACAGACCGGUAGGAAUCGUGAGCUCGGGCAGCAGGUGUGGCAGCGUGGGUGACAGCUUCAUUUAACUUUGCCGUCCUCGUCCCGAAGAGGUGUCAUUUCUCCGAGAAUGCGUGGGUCACCGUCUCGGUCGAGUGCGAACUGGCGCAGGAGCGAAGCCCCGACCCGAGGGGACUGCAGCCACAGAAGUUCAGUUGUAGUUUCCAAAGUGGAAAGCUGAGUGCGAGUGGGCCCAAAUUGAUCACGCGGGAGAAGGAUUUUUUUAGGGCCCGAGCGCUUGGACAACGUCAUAAGAAAGCAAGUUUUUUAGCAGCACGCUUGGCAGCGGCAGGAGUCUGCAUGAAUGCCACUAUGUAGCUGAGUCUUCACCCUCCACAGAGGAGCCAGGUAAGUGGACUCGAGUGAUAUUCCCUGGCUGCGUGCGAAGGUCUGUGGAGAGACGCUCGGGGGUGCUGGUGGCAUCGUGGAGAUUGUUGGUGAGGUUGACAGGAGAGGAUUUUGUUUUAUCAACGUGAAUUUACGUGUGUUUGCAGUCGCAGCUAGGGAGCGUCUAUCUCAUACAGUGUUUCACACCAUCUGCUUGUUUUUGAAUUUGAAGCAUCAUGGGACACCAAUCGCUCAACAUUUCGGAAUUAUUUGCGCAGAUUUUCCGAGAGGAGACCGGGCAUGGCCUGCCUGGGGGCUUACGAUGUAGUGUGGCAUAGGCAAGCAGUCGAUUCUGCACGGCUGUGAAUGGGCGCACAUCCAGGAUACACCGUUCAUCUAUUCAGCUAUUGGGGAAUAGUAUCGUGUGUUCAGGCGAGUACUGGUUGCUGAUGGAGAGUUAUGGGGACAAAGGAUGUUGUGGUUCUGUGCUUGCCACGUCGGAAUAGUCGUGACAGUUGAAGACGUGCCCUACAGCCUAACUAGCAAUCCUCACUCGGAAAGUUGCUUCAUUGGGACGGAUGGGCGUGUGUGUGUGUCUUUGGUGGCAGCCCGUGAGCAUCUAUCUUUUCUGGGUGCCUUGACUGACUGCAGCACUUUGUUUUUCUGUCGUAGUCUGUCGUUGUCUCAGUGGGCUGCGAGCGAAUUAUUUACCGAACUGAAGACGAGAAAGGACGAAGAAGAGUAGGGCCUGGCUCUGAUCAGAGAAUAACUGAAGAUGAACAGCGAAGGUUGCUUGAGCUACAGAGCCACACACAUAGGUGGGGACACGAGUUGAAAGUCAUGGCCUGCAACUGGGCAGGACCGGCGGACUGACACUCAGUUGGCUGAUCAUAGCUCCGGUCUCUUGAGCACAAGAAGAUGCGCAUAGCUAGGACACUGGCAAAGGCUGUAUAUUUCGAAGAGUGGGAAUGACCGCUAGGCACGAUAUAGGCUCUUCUCCCGGCGGGAGAGCCUUGGCGUGGAAAUUUGAGACAGUGCAUCAUCACCCGGCCACAGUGCUUUGUUGCGUCAACCCUUGUACUUCCGUGUGAGCAACAGAUGCGUUGUGUCAAAUUGGAAAAGGGGUCAUGUUAUGACACAUAUCUAGUGUCCUGCCACAUCCGCCGAGCCUGGCCCUUGAGUUUGCCGUAGGAGCGACCAGUACAUCUGAUUGAACAAUUCUCGACGAGCUGUAGCUUCGUGGGCAGCUUCCGCACAGUGGCUACGAUCACUGCAUUACAUCCCACCGAAAUACGUAUGUCAUAAUCUGAACAGAAACUACAGGUCGCCUCCCCCUGUGUCGGGGAGUGACCAGUGGCUCAUGAGCAUGGUCCAUAGGCGCCCGUAUCUGCAUGCCUCCUCUUGUUUUCUUGUACUCCGUCCGACUCUCCUAACGGUGCGACUGCACUUCGUACCUUAGCAAAGGCGUACCUGGCAUUGCCAUCUUAAUAUCCGCUCGGUGUCUAGGUGAAUCAGCUGAGGAACACAAGCCUGGAGAUGGCGCUAGACGAGAUACGAAUUCCGACUUCACAGGUCGUAGAAGUAAGUGCGAUUGUCUCGGGGGAGUUACUAAUUGUUGACGAUGACACCAGAAAGGGAUAUAAAGACACUGUGCACCUUAGGUCACCGGCGCGCCGGAGACGAAGCUCUUCCCCUAACCCAAUGCAGGAUUUCGGGCCCUGGGGAUCUCGAAACAGUACAGAGUGCCGGUGAGAGAGCCCAUCUCAGCGACAACGCAACGGUGGCAUGAAACGUGAUUGGGUCUGAAGUGAGACACCAACCGUCUACAUCGGAUUGCGUUUUGCUUUGCGCGGAUCCGCACCAAGCCGCAAGUGGCUCCCGA